AUGUAACUACUAACAUUUUGUUUUAAAGAGUAAAUAUAAAUAUAAUGCAUUCAUCAAAAAUAUAAUUUUUCAGAUUCAAACAUUAUCAUAAGCACUACUAACCUUAUUCCUACAUUUUGGCAUAUACUUUUUAAAGUUUUUCUUCGUGAUUUUUUUAAAUUAGAAAAUUGGUCCCAAGAUAUUGGAGACCAAGUAAAAUCAAGAUAGACAACUCUUAAACAGGAUCUUUCAAACCAAGAGUUUUGAAAUAUCUCAGUAUUUCUUUUAAUUUUUCAAUUUCAUUCAAUUUCUUUUGUUCAUCUCAUUAACCAACGCAUAUUGUUUCUAUUUUCAGAUUUUUGUGAGAUUUCAUCCAGCAGUUUGCCCUAAAAGAAUUUUUAAAUAUUUUAGUUUUAUAUUUAUGUGGAUUCCAAUAAAAAUCAUACAAACUUC
rnacentral:sRNA from 1 species